AAGCUCCCCCGUUUUCACAUCCUCUCUCUAUAGUUGUUAUUUGUCGUUUGCUUUCAAUGCCAUCAUGAAGCACUGCAUGAAGACUUUCUGAUCGCCCUUUACCUUGCCUAUCCCUGUAAUAGUACGAAACUUCAUUACUAGGUGAUAGGUGGAGGUAAUGGCUUUCAGUUUGCCCAAUGUGGGGUGACCUAAAAUGGCAUUGUAAGGCAAAGGACAAUUCACAACUAUGAAAUCCUGCCAUACUAUCGCAUGGUGUGGCUUUGUCCCAACGGUUAAGGGCAACUUGAUCCAACCCAUUGGAUAAAUGGACCCUCCCCAAAAUUUGAUCAGAGAAGAAUGAAACAAAUGGAGUUUGUCUCGCCCAAUCAUCAUCUUAUCGAAAGCCGAGGAGAAUAAGAUAUUGGCAAAGGUUCCGUUGUCAAUCAGGAUUCUCUGAAUGUUAAAAUUGGCAAUGGUGGCGAUCACAACUAAGGUGUCAUCAUGGGGGAGAUGUAGACCCUUCAAGUUUUCAUUGGUGAAAGCGAUGGGGGGAUUCACCUCGGUUAUGGGAGAGAAGAGUUUAUAAACUUCUUCCUCUGCUGGCCCCAUUUGCCCACUGAGCAUGUCUCUUCCUUGACAACGUUUAACAUCCUCCUGAUCCAAAAACUCCAUGGAUGGGUUGGAUAUCUCCAGCAGUAGGUAUGUUGUCGAUAUAAGCUGUGUUAGGAGUUGUUCGUCUUGGGUGAUCAGCUACAAGCUUCCUUAGAUAUCCCUUUUUAAUCAAAUCACUUAUUUUCUCCUUCAAUUGAAAACAAUCCUAUGUAUUAUGGUCGUGAUCUCUAUGAAAUUUAUAAUAUUUAUUCUUGUUUCUUCGUAAUGGGUUAGUCUUAAUUUUUCCAAGCUAUUUCACGAAUUCCUCAUUCUUGAUCUUUAUAAGUACUUGAGCAAUGGGGGUGUUGAGAGAAGGUAGCUGCAAUUCUGUCCAGUGAGGAGUCCUAGGGCGUCGGUCAUUCUUUUGCCCCUGAGGAGGCACCUCGGGCUUCCUCAACUUAAAGUUACCUCUUGUAUCCUAUCCUUCUUGAGUCUGGCUCCUCUCUUUUUGUAAUCAUCUGGUUUUCUUUGUGUGCUUCGUUUAGCUUCGGCCAACUCUUCAGCAGUGAUAUACUUGUUUGCUUUAGCCUAGAGCGCUGACAAAAUUUCUAGCACAUUCUUUGAAAAAGAGUCAAAUAGUGCACUAGGUCAGUGUCCUUCCAUCAUUGCUAUAAUCACCACCUUAUCAUUGGGGUCCUCCACUUCGAGGAUGGCCUGAUUGAAUUGCUUGACGUACUCCCUAAGGCUUUCUCCAACUCUCUGAUGGAUAGUGAAGAGGCGAGAGGCGUUCUUUUGCCUGACCUUGUAGUUCAUGACAUUGGCAACAAAACGCUUGCUUAGGUCACCAAAAGAAUCAAUGGUUCUAGGUGAUAACUUCUUGAACCAUGAACUCAUCGAUCCUCUUAGAGUUGCCAAGAAAGCUCUACACAUCACCUCGUCUGAAGCUCUCUGAAGUAACAUUAGGUUUUUGGAUGAAUCUGUUUUUCCUUCGUAAAUCCAAGCUGGGGAAGAAGCUUAAACCUGGAAGACAAUUUAACCCUCAUCACCCUCUCAAUGAAUGGAGGAUCUAUUUUCUUUAUGAAUGCAUCCAUGGUGAUGGGUGCUUUGGCACCAGUGUCAAUGGUGGGCGUGUCCAAAUCUUUGAAACUUUUUUUAGGUUUACACAUCACCAUGAUAUCUAUUAGGGUGGUCAUCCUGAUAUGGUAAUCUUCUUUGCCUACGAGUCUUCUCACUCGUUGACCAUUUUGCAAUUUACUGCUGAAAGACUACAACCAAGAUAUUUUAGGACUUUUUCCUUGUCUCCCAUGUCUGGAGUGAUGGCUGGGGGACCGACGACAAUGGCUAUGCGCAGAACGCAUGUGACUGGCAUUUUGGAAAUUUCGAGAAGUGUCUUGGUCACUUGAUUGAUAAGAGUGGUGAGGACGAUUUGAACCUUUUUGGGACUAGCAUGGUGGUUGGCGCUGUAGUAUGGGUGAGGUGUUACAAUAAGCAUGCAUUUAGUUCGUUCAUUAUCCUGAUUUGCUUGGCAAUACCAUGCAACUCACGGUUAAUACCUCCAAACCUCAAAGGUAUUCACCGUGAGAUGCAUGGUAUUGCCAAACAACAGUUACAAUUGCUCAAGGGUGGACCUUAGUCACCUGGCAGGGAAACAAACGUUGUCAUCGGAGGUGAAACCGCUCAAAACCCCUCCGGUUCGAUUAUCAAAUUUGUAGGGAGAAGAGAAAACUCAAAAUUAAAGAGCUCUAGACAAAGGCACAAUUGAUAUUACCUUUUUUUGAAGGUAGGAGAGCAGCUUUUAUAGAUGAAAGACCUCUCAUCGUGUGAGGAUGUCGUGGCACAAUUGUAGGAGAUCAUGGCCAAGAUGGACCAGAUGGAUAAGUGUCUACUUUGGCCCGGAGAUGUGGAGCAUAUCCUGAUGCUAUGUCUGACA
rnacentral:lncRNA from 1 species